ACCCCACUCCACUAUCCACAUUUAUAACAUUUCUCUAUAAAUAUCAAACCUUUACCUCUCUCCCCUUUUGCCUUCUUCUUCUUCAUUUUCACACUUUUCUUUAGAAUUUUAGGCUUCUGGGGAGAGAGUUAUUGUUUGGGUUUGGUUAGAUAGAGAGUGGGUGGGUGUUCUUUUUUUGGGUUUUUCCGGUUUGGUUUGGUUUGUUCUUGCAGGUCAACCGUAGAUUCUUGUUUGGAAUUGCUUCUUGAUUUUUGAGAUCAAAAUCUUUGUGAUCAAAUCAGCUGAUUUUGCAAAGCUAACUGCAAGCAACAAUGGAGGUUAUAAAUGGAAAAUCAAUGGCAUCAGGUCCUGCCAAUGUUAUUUUCCUAUCCACUAUUCUCGGCCGAGAUGGGCCGAUUUCGGUUCACAAAUGUGACUGGAAAUGUGAGAAUGAGCAUGUUUGUGGGAAUAUGUAUCGCUGCAAACUGACUGCUCUCACUCACAUCUGUGACAAGAACUGUAACCAGAGGAUUUUGUAUGACAAUCAUACCUCGCUUUGCCGGGCUAGCGGUCAGAUUUUCCCCCUUUCUCCAGCUGAGGAGCAGGCGGUUAGAGGAGUCCGAAGGAAGAUAGAUGCCGAUACUUCACCUGCGGAGAACUGUUCCUUUAAGCGCAGUGGAGAAAGAUGCAGCUUUCAGCUGAUGAAUUGGAAAUGGUGAUUGCUUGUUUUCCAUCAAUUUGUUACGUCUGAAGUCUUUAAAGGUUCAGUCCUAAAUUUCUAAAUGGUCCAUGGCCAGCGAUAAAACUCGGACCAUAAGAUUAUUGGGUGAUGGAUUGCCAAGGCAAAGUAAAGCGUAUUAUUUCUUAUGUAUAAACCUAAAGCAUAUGUGCUAUUUUGGGAAGCGCAGACAUCACACAGAAAUAAUAUGAGGAUGACGUGCAGUCACAGGGACAGUACACUAAUCAUGGUAUCGAGUAGUUAUGACUCGCAACUACCUAGGGGCAAUAUACCUCUUGAAUGGGCUUCUUCAAAGCUAGGUAUAUUGCCACUAAGGUAGUUGCGAGUUGUAUCACUCUAAAGAUGGAAAAGAAUUCGAUUCAAUUCGAGAUGUACACUUCAAUUUGAGUCAGAUCGCUUACAGUAUUUUAAGAUGAGGCAGCUUCAUAAUUGCCAGUGGAAGUACGCCAACAAGAUCUUGCAAAAAGGAAAAAAACUAUGAUGGCAAACUCAAGAAGCUAGAGACGAUUCACCAAAAGGAAGUGUAUAUUUUUAGCCACGGCAUUAACUGGACCUGGUCAAUCGCAUAUUAGCGUGUUGCUGUAUGAUGGCAAUAUUAGAGUGUUCAUUGUAUAUGAUGGCAUUUCUGCAGGUUUCUAUAUUAAACCAGUUUCAGUUUGUAAAUAUUCAAUUUUUUUAGUAAUCAAUGUUGUAUGAAAACUGAUUCUGUUGUA